rnacentral:tRNA from 2 species
GCAGGUAUGGCGGAAUAGGCAGACGCGCUAGCUUCAGGUGCUAGUGGGGGCAACCUCGUGGAAGUUCAAGUCUUCUUACCUGCACCA